UGAAAUGCUCGAGUGUCCCGUGCUGCGCUGUUCGUCUCUGAGUGUGCAAGUGCCUGUGUGUGUGUGCACAGGCGCACGCACCUGUGCCACUCUCGCCUACAGCAACAGAAACAGGCCCAUCAAAUCACGACCCUCCCUCCCCCAUCCUCCCUCUAUCUGACAGACAGACAAGACGACGGACAAGCUCUCACUGGGUACCACAGCUAGCCUCAAACCCGCAGGAAUGCUGCUGCCUCCGCCCCGCCCAGGGCUGGAAUGAAAAGGUCUCCCUGUGUGGCCUGGGCUGGCUUGGCAGUCGCUAUGUAGACCAACAUGGAUUCAGGCUCGCCUGUUUCUCCUAGGUCCUGGCGGAAGUCCGCAGCGCUGUGCUCAGUUGUUGCAAAACAACAACAACAACAACACAAAACAAAACAACAACAAAAAAAAUCAAAUAAAAUCUAGUUAAAAAACAAAACGAAACAAAAACAACCCCCACCCCCAAGUGUAACUGUCACUUUUAAAAGAAUAAGAGCUGAUUUUACUUCAUGAAAGGAACCCUGAGACCAAGUUCUCAGCACAAAGGAGAUUUAUUUGUUGCAUGGGGAAAAAGGGCAGGGAAUAAGGGACAACGGGAGACAGAGGACUAGGGAGAAGGCUUUUUGUCUGGGAUGUGGAAAAAUGACUGGAGAGGAGACAGAAGUGGCCUGUAGGAAAGUGGCAGUUUAUAAUGGAACAAGGGGAAACCCCGUGUUAGGAUGAUUAAUUUUAACUGGGCAUGUUAAUUAGGUGAGCUAAAGGGGGCUUUUGAUUGCUUGACUUGAAUACUUUGAGAGCUGGACCUUGGUGGUCAGCCUCAGGAGGAGGAAGUGAUCAAAUAAGGAAGCACACCUUGGUGGCUAGCUUUAGGAAUGUAAUCUAAUGGUUUUUUUUUUUUUUUUUUUUUUUAGCAAGACAGAGGGAAUGGGGGAGAAGGGCCAGGCUUGCAGCCAUCUUUGCCAGCCUCAGGCUCUCUAGAAUGAUUUCAUUCUGGAGCCAAAUUUGAGUGACCAUGGCCCUGGAACACAGUUCAGGUUAACCCAGAUUCCAUCUUCCCUUGUGGAAGCAGCUCUACAGUUUUACAGAACAAAGAGGGUCAUAAAUCAAGGCAAGUUUAAAAUACAUUAGAGGCUACAUCAGAGAGGCAGGAUGGGAGAGCUUCUCUACAGCCUCGGGUGCCGGCUGAGGACAUUCUUAGCUUUGGGGGUGUGGAAGCCUGUGAUCUGCUAAGUUAAUAAAUUCCAAAGGUUUUCGUCUGUCAGUCACAGAUUUCAAGUUGCUAACCAGAUACAGAGGUGAGCAAAGAACUGCCAUGGGGUGGGGGCUAGCCUGUGGUAAGGUAAUUGUCUGAGGACCUCCAACAUUCCAACCUCCCCACCGCAGCUCUGAUGCAUCAGUCCUUGUAGAUACAAGCACCUCUCCUGGAAUUCUUGUUGACACCAGCCGCCUGGAACCAUCUUGUCAUCUAAAAGUGCAAACUGGGAGAUGAUUCACCGGAAAGGCUGUCCCAGCGAUGCCAUGGAGAUACAAGUAAACAGGACAAACCCAAACACACAGGUGAAAGAAACAGCACUGAACAGGGGCCACGGAAAGCCCCAGCGCCAGUCAGACAUCUUGAAGGUCUGCUUGCCUCAGCCCUGAGCAGGAUGCUGAGCCCACCAACGCUUCUGUGGUUUUUCUCGUUUCGAAAAGUCACCCCAAGACGCUUGCUGUACCAGCAGGAACUGUCCUGCCUGAAAAUUCUUCCUCUGGUGGCGUCCACCUGGCUCAUCUGACUUCUCCCACCAUCUGACAGAGCUGCUAAAGAGGUUACCAUGGAGUCACAGUAACGAUUUGAGAUGUGGAGACAUUUUGGCACACACAUCUCUGGGAUCAGCAAGAUGAUGAUGAUGAUGAUGAUGUGUGUGUGUGUGUGUGUGUGUGUGUGUGAGCGCACAUGCACCACAGAGAACAACCAUAGAUAUGGCUCCUCAGGUGCUGUCCACCUUCGUGAGAGACAGAGUCUCUCACUGGCUGGCCCGGAACUCACAAGUAGGCUGUGCUGGCUGAUUAGAAGCUCACAGGGGUCCGCUUGUCUUUGCCUCGAUAGUGCUAGGAUUGUAACGCACCACCAAGGCUGGAGAGAUGGAUGGCUCAGCCGUCCAAGGCCCGGCUCACCACCAGACAUAAAAGUGCACUAGCAGGCCUGACUUUUUUCAGGGUGUGUGGGGGGGGCAGGGUCAGCCUCCAGCUUCUCCCUCCCCAGGGCCGGGCUUGCAAGUGUGCGCCAUUACUCCAGGGAUGAACUUGGGACUUCUGAAGUACCUAUGUCCGACGUUUUUGUUUUUGAUGUGGUUCUGAGCAAAGCCAGGUCCUCUGCUUGUAAGGCAAUGGAGCUAUCUCCCCAGCCCUCAGCAACAUGGUUUAAAGGCGCCUGUACCUAUGGAUUUUUUUCAAUGGCAACACACUUAAUUUAACGUGUUCUAGAAUAAACUAGCCCGUCCCAGCAGCACUUCUUUGUAAGAGCUCUUUCCUGAGCCCAGGGCCAUGCCUCGUUUGAUUGACCUAGGGUAUGGGCUAGCAUGUGAGGUUCUAGCACUGUGGUUCCCAGACCUGAAGAGACAGAUCUCUCCUGCCACCCUGCCCUGGUGACCAAACACAGUGUUUUCUGACAAAUACAGCUGCCUGAGCAGCGCUGUGCACUAGGGCAGCUUCCGCAGAAGCCAGGUUGUGGGUGCGCCCCUUAUUAGCCGUAGUCAGCGUUAGCCAGGGUAUUGGACCAUUUAGCCUGCUGUCGUCAGCAUCAGCUUUGGAGAGAUGUCGGCAGGUAAGAGCCGCUCGCUGCUCUUGCAGGUGACCCAAUCUCAUCCAUAGCUGCCUAAACACCAGCUAUAAAGAUCUGAUGUCCCCCUCAGACACACAGACACCAAGCACAACCAAGCACAAACAUCUAUCUUUGUGGAGGACAGUUAGCUUUAGGCCAGGAAGAUGGAUCCAUGGGCAAAGAAAGGCUCCUGCUGCCAUGAUUGACAUCCUGGGUUUUAUCCCUGGGAACCGCAGGGUGGAAGGAGAGCACGCACUCCUGCGAGCUGCCCUCUGACCUCAGCAUGUGACACACUAGUGUGCCCACACCCGUACACAAACACACACCUCCACAUACUUAAAAAAAAAUGUAAUUUAAAAAG